GACCGGCUUACUGGUCGUGCUUUUGUGCGUACUGGUAUAAUCGGUUUCUCCUUUCUGACGAACUUUAAUGCCAUUAAUUUGGUGUUUUAGGGAAUCAGGACUGUUACUUUGUAAAAAUUAGAGUGUUUAAAGCAGGCUCACGCUUGAAUACAUUAGCAUGGAAUAACGGAAUAGGACGUUUGAUUCUAUUUUGUUGGUUUCUAGGAUCGACGUAAUGAUUAAUAGGGAUAGUUGGG
rnacentral:rRNA from 1 species